CUGUCUGUCUUUCUCUCUCACACACACACACGAACACACACACAUAAACGGAAAGCUAUCUUGAGUGACCAGUCACUGAACCGGGCUGUUUUUAGCACCGUAUCCUGACACUGAACAUGAUCCAACUGACUGCUAUCUCCGAAGGGGAGGUCAAAAACAUCAACAACCUCCCAAACACAAACACUGGGGCAGAAGUUUCCGGAUUUAUUUGCUCCCAUUCCUCACUGGUCUAUGGUUGCCUUGCAUAAUUUCAGUAACAGACCAAGAUGGGUCCAAAGAGCCUUGGUGUGAAAAAAAUCCAUACCGACUGUGAUUUGCGCAACAACGGAAUGAGCUACAAGACCUGAACCAAAAACAUUACAUCAAUAGCCUGUCAAUAUCAACAUCAUAAGCUCAAAAUACUGUAAUUUCGUAGACGUGAAUUGAUAGAGGCUUUUUUAUAUUACACCAUUAGAGAGAAAAAAAAUCUAAUUUGAUGAAUUUGUGAAUACAGACAUUAGAAUCAAUGGUGUGUGAACUGUGUAUGCGAUUUAUGGAAAGACGUUCUUCCGCCUGGCAUCGUGUUUAGGGGGGCCAGAGCAUCAAGACGAGUGAGUUUAAUACAUGGGGCAUAUUGUCUAUAACGCUCUGUCUGUUUAACCUCAAUCAAAAGGGUUAACAAGAUAAAGACGUUAAGGCCACUGAUCAGAAGGAACCCUCGUCUCUGACUGAACCAGUGUCAGAAGCAGCGCACAACUUCAUUUUGAGAUACUUUUUUCCUGCU